GACGAACGCUGGCGGUGUGCUUAACACAUGCAAGUCGAACGGUAAGGCCCUUUCGGGGGUACACGAGUGGCGAACGGGUGAGUAACACGUGAGUAACCUGCCCUCAUCUCUGGGAUAACAGUCGGAAACGGUUGCUAAUACUGGAUAUGAGCUUGCAAGGCAUCUUGUGGGUUGGAAAGAUUUUUUUGGUUGGGGAUGGACUCGCGGCCUAUCAGCUUGUUGGUGAGGUAGUGGCUCACCAAGGCUUCGACGGGUAGCCGGCCUGAGAGGGCGACCGGCCACAUUGGGACUGAGAUACGGCCCAAACGCCUACGGGAGGCAGCGGUGGGGAAUAUUGCACAAUGGACGGAAGUCUGAUGCAGCAACGCCGCGUGCGGGAUGACGGCCUUCGGGUUGUAAACCGCUUUCAAUUGUGACGAAGCUUUUUGUGACGGUAGCAGUAGAAGAAGCACCGGCUAACUACGUG
rnacentral:rRNA from 1 species